GCGCCCCUGGGCUCCGCCAUCACGGGUGGGCUGCGAGGGGCAGCGUGAGGGGCGUCCCCGCUUCCCCCCUGUACCCAAGUGUUAAAAUGCCCAGGACGAGGUUCAGCAGUACAGGGGAAGAGCCUGCUGGCUUUUUCCUCGAGAUCUGCUUGACAGCCGUGUGGUAGCGCAGUGGGGGAUGCUGUGGCAGCUCCCUCAGGUGUCGUGCUGCAGCGCUACCAACUACAACAGGUGGUUGAAGUUAAAGUUUAAAAGCUUCACCGUAUGUCAGAAAGCUUCUCGUGUAAAUCGUCUCCUGCGUUGCUUAUGAUCAGGCUCGCCUCAUCUUCUUAAUUGCUUAUGGCCAACCCUUAGGCUAGCACAUUUGAACAGACAUCUAAAGCUGGCCGGCCCUUGAUUCCAAGAGGGAAUGCCAGAAGUACCACAGAGGAACCUGACUCUGAACAGCAGCAACAACAAAACAGCUUUCCACAUCCUUCCAUGGGCAAAAGGAGAAUCUGAAAGUUCCUGUACAACAUCCCUGUGAUGCCAAAAGUAAGAAGCAGAGGUGAUGCCUCAGCCUGACUGUAGCAGGAGAAGCAAAGAAUACAAGAGGAGGCAUGAGUAUGGAGGAAUCAUGAACACUGCCAAAACAGAUGCACAGUGAAGUAUCACCAUAAAGUUAACAGAAGGAAGGAGAAAUGUAAAGGCUGCGCUGGUACUGUGAUGCCCACAGAGGGGAGAAAUCUGGAGCUGUACUCCUGACAGCAAGCAGCGGGCAGAAGGGACAGGACUGUGGCAGCCCUGUACAGAGGUGAGCAAGUAGAUGGCUGGAGAGGACCGGCACAACUGUACCUAGCUGUGAGUAACGAAGGCUGAAGCAAGCUCCUGGUGUUUGUUUGAACUGCAGCAGUCCUACAGAAAACUACAGCAGAAGUACAGAAAUCCAGUCGUUCACGAAUGGCCCCACCAUCUUAUCUGGGUACCUGCUGCACCGUCAGCUGUGGAUGCCAGCAGGAACUGAGACUGCUCUUUGAUUCAGCGAUAAUGAGUGAACAUUGCACCAACGACAUUUACAUUUCGCCGGUGGUAUGAAAAAACACGAGACUGUUCUUCUGAGUUCAGAGUUAGGCCCCCAAUGCACGCUGAUUUCCUGAAGCUGGAGCACUCCGAGGCUGCUAUUGAUGUGAACGAACAUCUUGGCAAUUUAGCAAAAGAUGACAUCAGGCAUGAAAGGUGAAAUCAAAUUUUCAUAAGUUUCUGCCAUAUCUGCUUCAUUGGGAAGCUCUGGAAAUAUAUUAGGAGCACGGUUGCAAGGUCUUUGUGGAGGCACUGUGCUGCCGCAUACCGUGUCAAACUAUUAUCCAGGCUUCCUGCUGACUGACGCUGCUGGAGAAGGCUGAACUUUGGCUUCGGGGGAGGCAGCGAGAGGCAAUUUGGUCUGAACAUCGCGUCGCUGCCAGGAAGGAGGCUGCGGUUUUCAUCUCUGAGGCCACCGACAGGGGCUGUGGCGGUUCAGGCAGGGGCUGGAAGUCACCUGGAGACCUUGGGCAUCUCAAUGACUGUGCGCCUUAUCCCAAGAGAGCACCGCACAGAGCUGACGUGAAGUUUGCAUAAUUAACGCUGCAUCAAAUCUCUUGCUAUGGGAACCGAGGAAAAGCCACGCGAGGUGUGGGCAUGGGCUGCCCUCCUUGCUCCUUCUCUCGAAGCCGCCUUGCCCAGGUCUGCCCAAAAUCUUCCACACCACAGCCACCGAGCGUGAAAACAACUGCUGGCAGGAGUGAGCCCGCACCAGGCCCCACGGCGAUAUCACUUUCAUCAUCUGUGGAGUCGGUACAGCUGGAGAGAAAGCAAUCCUCCUUUGUCUCGGACCGAAGCCUUCUGCUUGAGAAGAGCCGUGCUGCUCCCCCCGAGCCCAGGCUGUGCCUUCCUGCCUCGCCUCCCUGCUCCAGGGAAAGCCCCCGCCACACCGCGUCCCCAGCGCCCAGACGGCAGGUAAUGAUGCGCGGAUGUGCAAUGAAAUUUCAGAAAUGCGCACUGACUUUUUAGAGAUAUGCCAACCGGCAAAGAAAAUGAAAAAAAAUGAAGUCUAACAUAAAAUAAUUUAAAAAAAAAAAAAGGGUUCUGGUGAGGCCGCACCUCGAG